rnacentral:miRNA from 1 species
ACCACAGCUUCUGCUACGAAC